CCCAGUUCAGAUUGCAGUCUGCAACUCGACUGCAUGAAGUCGGAAUCGCUAGUAAUCGCGGAUCAGCAUGCCGCGGUGAAUACGUUCCCGGGCCUUGUACACACCGCCCGUCACACCAUGAGAGUCGGGAACACCCGAAGUCCGUAGCCUAACCGCAAGGGGGGCGCGGCCGAAGGUGGGUUCGAUAAUUGGGGUGAAGUCGUAACAAGGUACC
rnacentral:rRNA from 1 species